rnacentral:misc_RNA from 1 species
GAAAUGCGAUAAGUAAUGUGAAUUGCAGAAUUCAGUGAAUCAUCGAAUCUUUGAACGCACCUUGCGCUCCUUGGUAUUCCUUGGAGCAUGCCUGAUUGAGUAUCAUGAAAUCUUCAAAGUAAAUCUUUUGUUAACUCAAUUGGUUUCUACUUUGGUAUUGGAGGUCUUUGCAGCUUCACACCUGCUCCUCUUUGUUCAUUAGCUGGAUCUCAGUGUUAUGCUUGGUUCCACUCGGCGUGAUAAGUUAUCUAUCGCUGAGGACACUGUAAAAGGUGGCCAAGGUAAAUGCAGAUGAACCGCUUCUAAUAGUCCAUUGACUUGGACAAUACUUUUAUGAUCUGAUCUCAAAUCAGGUAGGACUACCCGCUGAACUUAAGC